rnacentral:rRNA from 1 species
UAUAGAAAGAAACUAUUAGGGAAUCAUUGCAAUAUAUUAAAGAGAGAAUAAAUUUUAAAUUGUAUAGAAAUACAUGAAUUCUAAGAGAAAUUCAGUAAUAAACAAAGCAAAUUGAAAUAUCUUAGCAACUUUAGGAAAAGAAAUCAAAAGAGAUUCUAUGAUUAGUGAGAAUGAAAAUAGAGAAGCCUUAAGUAAAAUGGGUUAAAGCCUGUUUGAAUAAGUAAAGGGGAACCUUCCUCUAAGGCUAAAUAUGAUAUAUUGAGCGAUAGUGAAGUAGUACCGUGAGGGAAAGGAAAAAUUAGUAGUUUUAUAAGCAGCUUGAGAAGUAAAUUUAAAUAAUAUUAAGAGCGUACCUUUUGCAUAAUAAGUAAAAUGGGUUAAAGCCUGUUUGAAUAAGUAAAGGGGAACCUUCCUCUAAGGCUAAAUAUGAUAUAUUGAGCGAUAGUGAAGUAGUACCGUGAGGGAAAGGAAAAAUUAGUAGUUUUAUAAGCAGCUUGAGAAGUAAAUUUAAAUAAUAUUAAGAGCGUACCUUUUGCAUAAUGGGUAAAUUGCUUGCCCGUAAAAAUUGUGAAAUUUUUAAUAAAACUGACUCAUGACCGCGCGCUAGCGCGCGGGUCGGUAUGGUAAUUAUUAAAUUAUUAUGCUAACGGUGAAACCUAAGGGUAAUAAAUAUGAAUUAGGUUAUGUUUAUGGUCCAAAUACAACAUACUACCACUUAAAUCAUAAUUUAUUUUUGUGUAAUUAGCUUUACAUGAAAAUUUUUAUUAAAAACACGUUAAAACACAUCAUCAAAAAUAUCCAUUUUAAUAUUUAGAAAUGGAAAAAUAUUCAAUAUAAAAUUAAAAAAAAAUUAUAUAUUUAUAAAAUUCUAAGUUAAAAAUAUGAAAAAUCAUCUGCUUUGCAGAUGUUUUUUAAUUAAGUUUAGAAGAAAUUAAUUUUCGCAGCAAUAUUUAAAUGUAUCUAUUUUGCAGUUCGAGGGUUUGAGGUUCGACUAUAAAUUUAUUAGAACUUUUUGUAACGGCUUAUGUGAAAAACAUAAACAUGCUGCGCGGGCUGACCCCCUCGUAAAAGAGGCUAUCAUGCCUGUAUGGCCUAUCAAUUAGUUUUUAGAAUUUAUGGGUCAGGAACGUUUUUUUAACAUUCUUUACAACUUAUGAAACAGAAGAUACCCCUGCAAAAUAAUUUAAAUCGACAUCGAACGUUCAAACCUAAGUGUAGUUGGGCUUAAAAGCAGCCAUACUUUAAAUAAAUCGGAAUAGAACGAUUUCACUGUGUCUGGCGAAACCGAAUGCCCCAUAAUUUAACGGGCGCUAGGGUCAGCGGGAGUUCCCAUAACGUAGAAAGCAGCUAUGGACAAAUCCACUGCGGUCCCCGGGAUAAAAGGCCCUUGGAUGGGAAACGUCAUGGUAGAAUUGGCAGGAUGAACCUUGAAGGAUGAUCCGGGCCGUAGAAGAGAAUUAUUGAGUGAGGGGUUGGUUCUGCGGAGUUCGUUGUAAAGAUACCUGAUAAAAGAACUUCUUGAUAGAAUACUUAAACCGUCACAAUAAUUACAAUUAAUGAAAAUAAAAAUAUGCUUCAUCCUUUAUAUGUUACAGGUUUUUCUGAUGCAGAGUCCACUUUUGUCGUAAAAAUAUCUAAAGAUCCUAGAACGAAAACAGGGUGACGAAUAGAUCCAGUAUUUGAAAUAGGGUUAAAUGAAAAAGAAUUAGCUUUAUUGGAAAAAAUACAAUCUUUUUUUGCCGUAGGUACUAUUAGAAAAAAUAAAGUAAAUAAUUCUGUAAUUUUUGCUGUACAAUCCGUUAAAGAUUUAACAACAGUAAUAAUACCUCAUUUUGAUAAAUUUCCUUUAAUUACUCAAAAACGUGCUGACUAUGAACUUUUUAAACAAGUAGUAACUAUUUUGGCACGUAAACAACAUCUUAGUCUUUCGGGUUUACAAGAAGUUGUUAAUUUAAGGGCUUCAAUAAAUAAUGGUUUAACUGAAAAAUUAAAAGAAUAUUUUCCUGAUACAAAACCUGCACAUAAACCAAUAGUAGAUUUAAUUUCAAUAUUUGAUUCAAAUUGGUUGGCUGGAUUUGUAGAUGGUGAAGGAAAUUUUUUAAUAGCUAUUGUUACAAAUGAUAAAACAAAAAUGGGUUGUACUGUAAGUCUACGGUUUAGUGUUUGUCAACAUAAUCGCGAUGCUAAAUUAAUGGAAAAUUUAAUUAAUUUUUUAGGCUGCGGAAGUGUGGUAUAUCAUAAUGUAAGAUCUACAGUUGAGUUUGUUGUCACUAAAUUUACAGAUAUUGAAAAAAAAGUAAUACCUUUUUUCGAAAAAUAUCCUUUAGAAGGAAUCAAAUCUUUAAACUUUUAUAGUUUUAUUAAGGCUUUUGAGUUGAUGAAAAAUAAAGCUCAUCUUAAUCCUGAGGGAUUAAAAAAAAUUCUUCAAAUAAAAGAAAAAAUGAAUAAAAGAUAACGUUAAUUUAUGAUAAUUUUCUGUUAUAAAAAAAAUAAUUAUGGUAUAAUUCUAAAUUAUUUUUAUAUUUUAAUGAUGAACGUGAGUAUGUUAAUACAAAAAAAAUUUAAUAAAAAAAAAUAAACAAUAUUAUCUAUCGGUAAUACCGUGGGAAGUUGAUAAAUCGUAGGAAUAAUUUGUUUUUAGAACAAAUUGAACAAAAUAUAUAAGUUUAUAUAUUAGUUCCUUUUUAUUUAACCCUGUAACGACUGAUUUGAAAAAAGAGACGGGUAUUCCGUAAUACGUCAGCACUCAAUUAUUCCAGAAAAUAAAUGCAUAAAAAUUAAAUAAGAUAAGGUUAUAUAGAAAUUUAUAACUUUACUGUGUUCUUAAAAUAUUAAAUAAUUCUAAUAUUUCUUAUAAUAAAUAUUAUUAUAAUCCUUAUCCUGUUGGUGAUAUCCCAGAUUUGCGAAAUUUAAUAUUUAUUUAAUAAAUAUAGCUAAUUAUUAUUAACCUAAAUUUAUUUGAAUAAUCAAUGUUAUUAUUAUUAUAUAUAUUUUAGAUAAAAAAAAAAUUAAUGAAUAUUUUAUUAAAACAAUAUGUCCAAGUUAGGUUUUACAGGGUAUCUAAAAAAGCUCAUCUUACUGUGCCUCAGGAAUUGCAUGAUAUUAUUAUCGGUUCAAUGUUAGGAGAUUUAUCAGCAGAAAAACCAAAUGAAAAUUGUAAUACAAGAUUGGAAUUUAAACAAUCUAUCAUAAAUAAAGUUUAUUUAGAGCAUUUGUAUGAUUUGUUUAAAAGUUUUUGUGGUACAAAACCAUAGGUAAUGUCAAAAUUUGAUAGUAGACCUAAUAAAAAUAAAGAAUACCAUGCAAUUAAAUUUCAAACUUUAAGCCUGCCUUGUUUCAACAUUUAUCGAGAGCUUUUUUAUGAUUCAAAAGGUAUAAAAAUGAUACCUAUUGAUUUAGAAAAUAUGUUGACGUUUAGCGUAUUGAUUAAUGGACGAUAGCUAUAAGUCAGGUAAAGGUUUAUAUAUUUGUACGGAGUCAUUUUCUUUAGACGAAUGUAAUUUAUUAAUUAAUAUUUUGAAAAAUAAAUUUAAUUUAAAUUGUAGUUUACAUAAACAUAUUAAUGGUUUUAGAAUUUACAUAUUUAGUAGUUCUAAAAAUGAGUUAAUAGAUUUAGUUAAACCAUAUUUUUUAGAUCAUUUUUAUUAUAAAUUAAAUUUAAGUUCAGAUAUUUAAUAUAAAUUUUGUUCUGUUUUUUAGUGACUGCUUACUGCUCUUUGGUGGGUUUGUUUUUUUUUUGUUCUGCCUCUUUUUGUUUUUUGUCUUUUUGUUUCGCCUUUUUUAUAGUUUAAUUUAAUUAUUCGGCCUUAGUUGUUGUUCCUAUAUUAAUAAAUAAAAAAGGUGUAAAAUAUUCAUUAAUAUUUUAAUUAUCUAAAAAAGUUUAUGCUAAAUAUUUUUAUUGAGUUGAAGGUAUAGUCUAAUCCAAAAGGAAACUUUUGGCACGAAUUGCCAGCAAGUUAAUAUUAGAUGCGAGCAGUAAUAGCCAAGAUAACUCGAUCAAUACAAUAGUGAGAAGUAUCUAAAAUUAGACCCGAAGCCUAGUGAUCUUACCAUGAUCACAGUUAUAAAAGCUGGAACGGGUUAUUGUUGCAUAAAUAUCCGAAGAAUUGUGGUAAGUUGGUGAAAGAUAAAACUGACUAGGGAUAGCUGGUUUUCCGCGAAACGUAUCUAAGUACGUAAUUAUUACUAACAUCAUGCAGGUACAGAACUAAGAUCUUACUAGGCUAGUCGAAGAGAUAUUUUUCAACAAGAUCGGGGAAUCGUGAAGAUUUUAUCGUUAAGUAAUAGGUCUCGAAAUAGCAGGGAUGAAUGUUUAAUUAACAGACAUGGUAUGCUAAGGUUGCAUGUCGAGAGGGAAACAGCCCAGAACAAGAGUAAAUAUAAGGUUCCAAAAUUAUUGUUAAUACGAAGUGAAAUGAAGAGAGUUUUUAUCUAUUUCGAUCAGGUGAUGGGCUUAGUGGCGGCCAUUUUUUAAAGAUCUCGUAAUAGAGUUACUGAUUCAAACACCGGAAGACCUCCGGUGGAUAGAGACACCUAAAAUUUAUCGGAUCAAAACAAUAUACCGACACCUUGUCCAUAAUUAUAAUUAGUAUUCAUAUUAAGAGAUGGGUCUGUCUAAUUUAAUUAUGGGGUAGCGGAACGUUGGGUAAUAUUAUUAAAUUAUUCUUUUUAAGAAUAAAAACACAUUAACCCAAGUGAGGAUGCUGACAUGAGUAACGAAAAAGGAAAAAUUUCCUCGCCUUAAGCUUAUGGGUUAUAUGAAGUAACGGCCUCUAAGUUAAUUGACCUAAUGGUCUAAACGAUGAAAAAUUCUAGUUUUAUUGGGACAACCUUAUAUGAGUGUGUAAGUGUUCUGGAAAAGCAAUUAAACCGUACCUAAGAACCAUGAGGUAAGCUAGUAGAGAAUACGAAGGCGCUUGAGUGAACAAUCAUUAAGGAACUCGGCAAACUAACUACCGUAACUUUGGGAGAAGGAGUGCCGACCCUACCGUUUAAUAUCGGUUUGGGUAAGGAAGCAUAGAAUCGUGUUGUCCGACUGUUUAAUUAAAACAAAGCACGCUGCAUUAAGAUGAAAGUCUAAGUAUAGAGUGUGAUGUCUGCCCGAUGCCGGCUGGUUAACGGAGUUUUAACUAUGAGGGUCCAAAGGUAGCGAAAUACCUUGGCUACUAAAUAUAGUCUCGCAUGAAUGAUGUAACGAUACAACAGCUGUCUCGAUGAUUGGCUCAGUGAAAUUGGAAUGGCUGUGCAGAUACAGUCUACCUCUAGAUAGACGAGAAGACCCUAUGCAGCUUUACUGUUUCUAGUCAUUGCGUGUGAUCGGACCAACAGUAGGAAUAAGGUAGUAUUAUACGUAAUUGAAACACCUUUUUGAGUCUAUCACAUUGCUGGGGUGAGAACAACGGCUAGGUGGCAGUUUAUGCGGGGCACAGAUCCCAUAAAGAGUAGCUGGGUAUAUCCUAAAUUUUAGAAAAAUAAUAGUGAUUUUGAUAAUGACUUGUCAAGUUUAAUGGCAUAAUCUUGCUUAACUGUCUGACCUACGCGUCUAUCAGUCGCGUAAGCGGGGCAUACGAUCAUGAAAUUCACAAAGGUCUGGUUUCAUAUCAUAGAAUAAAGUUACGCUAGGGAUAACAGGCUGAUUGCGCUUGAGAGUACACAUUGGGAGCGCAGUUUGGCACCUCGAUGUCGGCUUAGCUUAUCCUCAUGAACGCAGGAAGCAUGAAGGGUACGACUGUUCGUCGUUUAAAAAGCUACACGAGCUGGGUUAAAUACGUCGUGAGACAGUAUGGUUUCUAUCUUCUAGUGGUAGUUAGAGUAAAUUAAAAUCAGGCCCUUUGUACGAAAGGAACCGGGAAUAUUAACCUCUGGUUUACCUGUUGUUUGUGUGGACGAUAUUAAUUGUAAUUAUAUAUUGCAAAAAGAAUCUUACUGACACUUAAGUAAGCAAUAGCAUAGGCACGGCAGGAAAGCUAUGUUUAAGAACUGAAAGCAUAUAAGUAUGAAACUAACUUUAGGAUACUCUUAAAAGAGCGUAGAAUACUACUACG